rnacentral:rRNA from 1 species
AACGAACGCUGGCGGCAUGCCUAACACAUGCAAGUCGAACGAGACCUUCGGGUCUAGUGGCGCACGGGUGCGUAACGCGUGGGAAUCUGCCCUUGGGUUCGGAAUAACAGUUAGAAAUGACUGCUAAUACCGGAUAAUGUCUUCGGACCAAAGAUUUAUCGCCCAGGGAUGAGCCCCGCGUAGGAUUAGCUAGUUGGUGAGGUAAAGGCUCACCAAGGCGACGAUCCUUAGCUGGUCUGAGAGGAUGAUCAGCCACACUGGGACUGAGACACGGCCCAGACUCCUACGGGAGGCAGCAGUGGGGAAUAUUGGACAAUGGGCGAAAAGCCUGAUCCAGCAAUGCCGCGUGAGUGAUGAAGGCCUUAGGGUUGUAAAAGCUCUUUUACCCCGGGAUGAUAAAUGACAGUACCGGGAGAAUAAAGCCCCGGCUAACUCCGUGCCAGCAGCCGCCGGGUAAAU